rfam:Triticum urartu cultivar G1812 contig651439, whole genome shotgun sequence.
GUAGUACUCCCUCCGUCCGGAAAUACUUGUCAUCAAAAUGAAUAUAAGGGGGUGUAUCUGGAUGUAUUUUAGUUCUAGAUACAUCCUUUUUUGUCCAUUUUGAUGAUAAGUAUUCGGACGAAGGGAGUAGAUC